rnacentral:rRNA from 1 species
UGCAGUCGACGACUCUGGUAUUGAUUGGUGCUUGCAUCAUGAUUUACAUUUGAGUGAGUGGCGAACUGGUGAGUAACACGUGGGAAACCUGCCCAGAAGCGGGGGAUAACACCUGGAAACAGAUGCUAAUACCGCAUAACAACUUGGACCGCAUGGUCCGAGCUUGAAAGAUGGCUUCGGCUAUCACUUUUGGAUGGUCCCGCGGCGUAUUAGCUAGAUGGUGAGGUAACGGCUCACCAUGGCAAUGAUACGUAGCCGACCUGAGAGGGUAAUCGGCCACAUUGGGACUGAGACACGGCCCAAAYUCCUACGGGAGGCAGCAGUAGGGAAUCUUCCMCAAUGGACGAAAGUCUGAUGGAGCAACGCCGCGUGAGUGAAGAAGGGUUUCGGCUCGUAAAACUCUGUUGUUAAAGAAGAACAUAUCUGAGAGUAACUGUUCAGGUAUUGACGGUAUUUAACCAGAAAGCCACGGCUAACUACGUGCCAGCAGCCGCGGUAAUACGUAGGUGGCAAGCGUUGUCCGGAUUUAUUGGGCGUAAAGCGAGCGCAGGCGGUUUUUUAAGUCUGAUGUGAAAGCCUUCGGCUCAACCGAAGAAGUGCAUCGGAAACUGGGAAACUUGAGUGCAGAAGAGGACAGUGGAACUCCAUGUGUAGCGGUGAAAUGCGUAGAUAUAUGGAAGAACACCAGUGGCGAAGGCGGCUGUCUGGUCUGUAACUGACGCUGAGGCUCGAAAGUAUGGGUAGCAAACAGGAUUAGAUACCCUGGUAGUCCAUACCGUAAACGAUGAAUGCUAAGUGUUGGAGGGUUUCCGCCCUUCAGUGCUGCAGCUAACGCAUUAAGCAUUCCGCCUGGGGAGUACGGCCGCAAGGCUGAAACUCAAAGGAAUUGACGGGGGCCCGCACAAGCGGUGGAGCAUGUGGUUUAAUUCGAAGCUACGCGAAGAACCUUACCAGGUCUUGACAUACUAUGCAAAUCUAAGAGAUUAGACGUUCCCUUCGGGGACAUGGAUACAGGUGGUGCAUGGUUGUCGUCAGCUCGUGUCGUGAGAUGUUGGGUUAAGUCCCGCAACGAGCGCAACCCUUAUUAUCAGUUGCCAGCAUUAAGUUGGGCACUCUGGUGARACUGCCGGUGACAAACCGGAGGAAGGUGGGGAUGACGUCAAAUCAUCAUGCCCCUUAUGACCUGGGCUACACACCGUGCUACAAUGGAUGGUACAACGAGUUGCGAACUCGCGAGAGUAAGCUAAUCUCUUAAAGCCAUUCUCAGUUCGGAUUGUAGGCUGCAACUCGCCUACAUGAAGUCGGAAUCGCUAGUAAUCGCGGAUCAGCAUGCCGCGGUGAAUACGUUCCCGGGCCUUGUACACACCGCCCGUCACACCAUGAGAGUUUGUAACACCCAAAGUCGGUGGGGUAAC